rnacentral:rRNA from 1 species
CGGACCCUACGGGGGGCAGCAGUGGGGAAUAUUGCACAAUGGGGGGAACCCUGAUGCAGCGACGCCGCGUGAGUGAAGAAGUAUUUCGGUAUGUAAAGCUCUGUCAGCAGGGAAGAAGAAAGACGGUACCUGACCAAGAAGCCCCGGCUAACUACGUGCCAGCAGCCGCGGUAAUACGUAGGGGGCAAGCGUUAUCCGGAUUUACUGGGUGUAAAGGGGGCGCAGACGGCGAUGCAAGCCAGGAGUGAAAGCCCGGGGCCCAACCCCGGGACUGCUCUUGGAACUGCGUGGCUGGAGUGCAGGAG